GACGAACGCUGGCGGCGUGCUUAACACAUGCAAGUCGAACGGAAAGGCCCUGCUUUUGUGGGGUGCUCGAGUGGCGAACGGGUGAGUAACACGUGAGUAACCUGCCCUUGACUGUGGGAUAACUUCAGGAAACUGGGGCUAAUACCGGAUAGGAGCUCCUGCUGCAUGGUGGGGGUUGGAAAGUUUCGGCGGUUGGGGAUGGACUCGCGGCUUAUCAGCUUGUUGGUGGGGUAGUGGCUUACCAAGGCUUUGAUGGGUAGCCGGCCUGAGAGGGUGACCGGGCACAUUGCGACUGAGAUACGGCCCAGACUCCUACGGGAGGCAGCAGGCGAGAAUAUUGCACAAUGGGCUGAAGCCUGAUGAAGCAACCUUGCGAGCGGGAUGACGGCCAUGUUGUUGUAAACCGCUUUCGCCUGUUACGAAGCGUUAGUGACGGUAAUGGGUAAAGAAGCACCGGCUAACUACGUG
rnacentral:rRNA from 1 species